rnacentral:lncRNA from 1 species
AUCGCUGCCUCGCGCGCGGGGGGUCAGACACAGAGCAGGAGGCAGGGGUCCCUCGUCCCUCGCCCUGCCGCGGAGGCCGGCCCCUCACCCCGGUUGCAGGUCAGGCGGUUUGGGGAUGGGCUUGUUGAAGCCGCGUCUGCCCACUAGCCAGAAAGUGUCCUCGGCGCCCUUGCCCUGGGGAGACAUGGGAGAGGGAAGGACUUAGGCGGACUGGGGUGAGGGGUGGGGGAUCUCGAGUCUGCGUGGAACUGGGAGACCAGGUCAGAAGGGUGAGCUGAGGUUUGCAGCCGCGGCCCGGGAUGGGCGGUGCCUCAGGACAGGGCGGGGCCUCCGGGAGGGGUUGGGGCCCUGCCUCACCUUCAGCUCCGUGCGGCCUCGCAGCUCCACCUGGUAGCCCGAGUCCAGAGCACGGAGAAUCCCCACAGUGCUCAAGUUCACGUGGAUGCGGUAAGCUGUGGCGGUGGGGGACGCCGUGAGCUCGGGACUCACCUCCCGUGUCCCCCUCCCACCUCCCCGUCUUGUCCCCGUCACACUCACGCAGCCCGGUGGACUCCAUGCGCGAGGCGGUGUUGACCGUGUCCCCAAACAGGCAGUACCGCGGCAUGGUGAGGCCCACCACGCCUGCCACGCAUGGACCUGUGGAGAUGCUGGGGGUCGGCGGGGCUAGCAGGGCCGGCCCUGGGCUGCACCUAGGUAGGGCCUCGGGGGAUCUUCGCACCCAUUAUCUCCACCAGCCCCCCAAAUAAGCCUUGUUAAGUGCAUCCUCUUCAAGGUAAGCCCCACUCCCCGCUCCAUGAGUUGCCUCCUCUACAGGAAAUCUGGGGCCAGGCCCUAAAGAGGGAGAUGGGCUGGAGCCUGGGAAGACCCGGGAGUUACCCGAGUGCAGGCCUAUGCGGAUGCGCACGGGAACCUCAGGCAUAUGGCGCAUGCGGAAAGUGCCCACGGCACUGAGGAUGUCCAGUGACAUGUUGGCGAUCUCUGCCGCGUGUCGCUGCCCAUUCCGCUGGGGCAGCCCCGAGGCCACCAUAUAGGCGUCCCCUAUUGUCUCCACCUGGGGGAAGAAGGAGUUGUGUGAAUUUUCUUUUGAGCAUUCCCCCCGAGUACACGAAGCGAUUGCCUCUUGUCACCGGGCCCACCUGGGGUUAGUGCAGAACCAGGUUGCUAGUGGAAGGACUGAGCUGGGGACUGGAGGAAUAAAUAAGGGACAGGAGGUCUGGGAAAGAAGAUUGAUUGGGCAGGUAGGCUAGGGGCUGCGCAGGAAGGGCUGGGCUGGAGGCUGGUGAAGCUGAAUUGAAGGUCAGGAGGGCUUGUCCCCUACACACUGCACCUUGUAGACAUCGUGGGAACCAAUGAUGGCAUCAAAGAGUGUGUAGAGAUCGUUGAGCAGGUCCACAACCUCAAUGGGCUCACUCAUGGCAGAGAUGGUGGUGAAGCCCACAAUGUCACUAAAGUACAGUGUCACUUGCUCAAAGUACUCGGGCUCCACUGGUGUCCCCGUCUUCAAGGCCUCAGCCACAGACCUAGGGAUGGCAGGCAGUGAGGUCACCUGGGGGCCACUCUACCUGGCUGGGCUCCAGCUGCCCUCCCAGCCCACCCCUUCCCACUGGCACCCACGGAGGCAGCAUCUGUGUAAGCAGCCGGUCUGUCUUCUGCUUUUCCAGCUCCAGCUCCUCCGUGCGCUCCCGGAUCAGAUCCUCCAGGUUACUAGAGUACUGCUCCAGCAUCCGAAGCAUCGAGUCAAUGAUGUUCGUCUUCCGGCCCUUGUUGAUGUUCUUGAACUAGCAGUAGAAGGAAGCUGGUAAAGCUGCUGAAGACCUGGGUUGCCAUGCCCUCUUUAUGCCCCCCUCAUGGGCCCUCUCAUGGGGCUGUUCACUCUGAACCCCAACCCCGCUGCCACCAUUCAUCUACUAUUCAUCAAGCACCCCGGGGUGCUGGGCACUGUGUUUUCAGACACGAUUAGGAGGCACGUGGGAAAUGAGGGUUCCCAGAGGUCAGUUGAUCUCAGCUAGUAAUUGACAGGGCACUGGAGCCAGCCCAAUCGUUGGGCUCCCAGGCCAAGGGUCUUUCUGUCACAGCAGGCCAAGCACAUACUUGGUUCUCAAUCAGUGUUAUUUGAAUUGAAUUGAAUAUUCCUCCCACCCAGACAGAACUCUAUCUCCCACUCCAAAAGCCUCCACAGCCCCCAUUCCAAUUCUGCCCCCAAACUCCGAGUCUUCAGGCUACUCCUUAGGAGGUAGCCUGGAAGGCCAGAGGUCCUGCCAGCCUGCCUGUCUGCAGCUGUCUCAGGUUGCUGACAAGCAUCUGGGAUCCCAGAGGCCAGCCCAGUCCUUGCCCACUCCCAGCCCCUGACCAGGUCGAAGGUGUGGUCCAUGGAGGGCCGAAGUUCCGGCUGCUCUGCCCAGCACUGCUUCAUCAGGAGGAUACACUCGACAGGUGCCUGGUCCAUGGACACCAAGGGCCGACACAGUGGAGGGGGGCUCCGCACCCUCUGCACCACUUCUGGAGGCAUGAGGGGACAGUGAGGGGGAGUGCCCCCAGAACACAAAGGCUGCCUCUGACCCUGGCCUGACUGUUGAAGACCAAGAUGUGGGAGGGGGUGCCUGGCAGGGGUUUCUUUACAUCAGAGGUUCAGUGUGUGUGUGUGGAGGGAGAGUAUAGUGUGGAAGGGGGUUGCUAGGAGGAACAAGAGGACCUCGAACUCUGGGGGUCAGUAAGAGGUGACAUAGGCAAAGAAACUAACAUAUUGUAUGUAAGACAAGUGAGGGAUAGGUGAUCAAGUAGUUUGCUCAGAGUCCUGUGCAGAAGGGAUGCACCCACUCCCCCUCCCCUGCUCCUCCCAGGGACCCCUGAGAACAGAGAGGAGUCUGUUCUGUCAGUUGUGGAAACAGUUUGGUUCCAGCAUCAAGAAAGAGGAAGCUGUUGUGGUCUGGGACCUAAUGAACCACGCUCCCCACCCUGGCCAUGCACGGCUUUCUGCACCCAGACCUGCAGAUGCCAGCUUUAAGGGGGCCUCCGUAUAAUUGAGUUUCAUCACUGGGCUUUGCUUUAGAGG